AUUGAACGCUGGCGGCAGGCCUAACACAUGCAAGUCGAGCGGAUGAAGGGAGCUUGCUCCUGGAUUCAGCGGCGGACGGGUGAGUAAUGCCUAGGAAUCUGCCUGGUAGUGGGGGAUAACAUCCGGAAACGGGCGCUAAUACCGCAUACGUCCUGAGGGAGAAAGUGGGGGAUCUUCGGACCUCACGCUAUCAGAUGAGCCUAGGUCGGAUUAGCUAGUUGGUGGGGUAAAGGCCUACCAAGGCGACGAUCCGUAACUGGUCUGAGAGGAUGAUCUGUCACACUGGAACUGAGACACGGUCCAGACUCCUACGGGAGGCAGCAGUGGGGAAUAUUGGACAAUGGGCGAAAGCCUGAUCCAGCCAUGCCGCGUGUGUGAAGAAGGUCUUCGGAUUGUAAAGCACUUUAAGUUGGGAGGAAGGGCAGUAAGUUAAUACCUUGCUGUUUUGACGUUACCAACAGAAUAAGCACCGGCUAACUUCGUG
rnacentral:rRNA from 1 species